UACAGAGGGGGCAAGCGUUAUUCGGAAUUAUUGGGCGUAAAGGGCGCGUAGGCGGCUUUGCAAGUGACGGGUGAAAUCCCUCGGCUUAACCGAGGAACUGCCUGUCAGACUGUGAGGCUUGAGACCGGGAGAGGUGAGUGGAAUUCCCAGUGUAGCGGUGAAAUGCGUAGAUAUCUGGAGGAACACCGGUGGCGAAGGCGGCGUCCUGGACCAACACUGACACUGAGGCGCGACAGCGUGGGGAGCAAACAGG
rnacentral:rRNA from 1 species